rnacentral:rRNA from 1 species
UGACCUCUGAUCAGGUAG